rnacentral:rRNA from 1 species
UCCGAAUUGUAAUUUGUAGAGGAUGCUUCGGCUUAGGUCUUGGUCUAAGUUCCUUGGAACAGGACGUCACAGAGGGUGAGAAUCCCGUUUGUGGCCAACGACUGCCGCCAUGUGAAGCUCCUUCGACGAGUCGAGUUGUUUGGGAAUGCAGCUCUAAAUGGGAGGUAUAUUUCUUCUAAAGCUAAAUACCGGCCAGAGACCGAUAGCGCACAAGUAGAGUGAUCGAAAGAUGAAAAGCACUUUGGAAAGAGAGUUAAACAGUACGUGAAAUUGUUGAAAGGGAAGCGUUUGCAACCAGACUUGCCCGUAGUUGCUCAACCGGUCCUGCAGCCGGUGCACUCUUCUGCGGUCAGGCCAGCAUCAGUUUGGGUGGUUGGAUAAAGGCCUCGGGAAUGUGGCUCUCUUCGGGGAGUGUUAUAGCCCUUGGUGCAAUACAGCCUACCUAGACUGAGGUCCGCGCUUCGGCUAGGAUGCUGGCGUAAUGGUUGUAAGCGGCCCGUCUUG